GACGAACGCUGGCGGCGUGCUUAACACAUGCAAGUCGAACGGAGCGCCUAUGACAGAGACUUCGGUCAAUAGAUUAGGUUGCUUAGUGGCGGACUGGUGAGUAACGCGUGAGGAACCUGCCUUUCAGAGGGGGACAACAGUUGGAAACGACUGCUAAUACCGCAUGACGCAUGACUGGGGCAUCCCGGACAUGCCAAAGGCCGGGCAACCGGUCACUGAAGGAUGGGCCUGCGUCUGAUUAGCUAGUUGGUGGGGUAACGGCUCACCAAGGGCGACGAUCAGUAGCCGGUCUGAGAGGAUGAACGGCCACAUUGGGACUGAGACACGGCCCAAACUCCUACGGGAGGCAGCAGUGGGGAAUCUUCCGCAAUGGGCGCAAGCCUGACGGAGCAACGCCGCGUGAGUGAAGAAGGUUUUCGGAUCGUAAAGCUCUGUUGAGAGGGACGAGAGGCAAGGCUAGGAAAUGAGCUUUGUAGGACGGUACCUUUCGAGGAAG
rnacentral:rRNA from 1 species